rnacentral:rRNA from 1 species
AUGCCGCCAAGGUCUCAAUCUGGGUGUUGCAAGGAUUCCAAUGUCUGCACCUCUUUGGUCUCUGCUUUGGAGUCGCAGCUUGCCCUGCUGCGCACGGAGCUCCUUCAGGAGGUUGAGCUGCUCCGCACUGAGCUUCGUGACGCUCUAGCCAAGUUUGAGGUUGCGUCGGUUGUGCCUUUGCUGCCUGAGCUCCAGGUUGGUUCCAUUGAUGAGGAUGCUGAAUGUUGCUUUGGAGAUUUUUCUCCUCGUGCUCUGCAUGUGACGCCGCUUGUUCGUGGGAGUGCGGUUAUCAUGGAGGUCGUAGCUCCAGUUCUGCAGAUUAUGCCUGAGUUGCAGGAGCUUUGUGGGGAAUCAUCUAUGGUGUUACCGAUGGAGUUGAGCGCAUUGGAGUCCUUGGUGGUGGCCAUGCCACCUUCACUACCACCGUCAGAGUCCUGUCAGCCGCCCGCCAUUCCGAGCUGUGGAGACUUGGUUGGUUCUGUCAAUGCCUCAUCUAUGGCCAUUGUGCAUGGGGCGUCUUUGAGUGGCGAGGUUGAUGAGAUAGGUGUGUUGGCACCUAACUCUGAGGCUCCAUCUUGUGAGCAACUGGAGACGCUUGAGUCCAUCAUGCUAGUGGUACCUGUGACUGGUGAUGUUGAGGCGGUUGGUGCGUUGGCGCCUGAUCCUUCAGAGCCCAACCAGCCACUCGCCUCUGUGGAGCAUGGAGGUUCCGAUGUUGCAGUCACCCACUCGCAUGUGACCGUUGGGCAGGUUUCUAUGUGUGACAAGUUCAAUGAGAUUCUCUUCGAGAUAGAGCUUCACAGCUUGUUCAAACGUUUGGAGAGGGUGAGCCCUGGAUCUCGCAAGACGAUUGUGGAGGAGGCUCUCAGGAGCAAAGGAAAGACGAGUGACGCCACAGGAAAGGCGUCCGCAGCUGCUUGA